GGUUGUGGCUCAGUGGUAAAGUGCUCGCCUCAGAAUUGUGAAGACCUGGGCUCAAGCCUCAGCACCA
rnacentral:tRNA from 1 species